UCCCUCCUAAACCAGCCGCAGCCAAUAGCCAUCCGUAGCAGAAACCCUAACCCCCUCGAGCCCUCUCUCUCAACCUCUGUAGCGCCGAAUCUCAGCGGAAGCUCUUCCUUCUUCUUCUCUGCCAUCGACGCCGCCGGACAGCACCUUCGCAGCGGCGCGGCUCUUUUCUCUUCCUCUCUCUUCCUUGUAGCUUGUAGCGCUUCUCUUUCUGCCUCAGCCUCGACAGCUCCCACACCACCUCUCCAGCAGCCGUCACCUCCAUGAACCAACAGCUGCUGUCUUCUUCGACGAACCGCAGCAGCACGCACCAGACGCAGUCAAAGCAACCACCGUUCAUCGUCCGUCUCUCGUUCGUCGUUGAUCUGUCCAGUCUCUCUGGUCUUUGGUUCGUCGUCGCCGCCGUCUUACCAUCCUACACCUCCAUCGUCCUCUGCAAUGGAGCCUAAGUCUCAGGAAAGAAGAAAGUGAAAGAGGAAGAACUUGUGAAAUUGGUGCACCACAUGAACAUUUAUGGAAUUAGUUUGGGUGUAUUUUUUAUUCAGUUUGGUUCUAUUUCUUGAUUUAGUUUGGAAUUGAUGCACCAUUUUUGCAAAAAUUUUGGAAUGAGUUUGCUUGUAUUUCUUUACUUUCUUGAUUCAGUUCAGGCUGAUUAUUGUUCCAUCUGUUUCCCAUGUUUUUGCAACUUGCUAAUGAUUUUAAUUUGUUGUGCUUCUGCUAAUUUGUUAGUGAUUUAUGAGUCAAGUUGAUCAUUGUUCCAUUGUUCCAUUGUUGAUUUUGCGAAAUUGUUAAUUAUUUUAGUACC